rnacentral:rRNA from 1 species
GGACGAACGCUGGCGGCGUGCCUAAUACAUGCAAGUCGAACGAACUGUGGAAAGCUUGCUUUCAGAGUUAGUGGCGAACGGGUGAGUAACACGUAAGUAACCUAGCUAUUAGACGAGGAUAACUACUGGAAACGGUAGCUAAGACUGGAUAUGAUAGAAAUAUUUAAAGGAUGCUAAGGCAUCGCUAAUAGAGGGGCUUGCGGCGCAUUAGCUAGUUGGUAGGGUAAAAGCCAACCAAGGCGAUGAUGCGUAGCCGACCUGAGAGGGUGACCGGCCACACUGGGACUGAGACACGGCCCAGACUCCUACGGGAGGCAGCAGUAGGGAAUCUUCGGCAAUGGACGAAAGUCUGACCGAGCAACGCCGCGUGAGUGAGGAAAGUUUUCGGAUUGUAAAGCUCUGUUAUUAGGGAAGAAAGGCUCUAGGAGGAAAUGCUUAGGGAUUGACGGUACCUAAUGAGGAAGCCACGGCUAACUACGUGCCAGCCGCCGC